GGGAUAACAGGCUUAUCUCCCCCAAGAGUUCACAUCGACGGGGAGGUUUGGCACCUCGAUGUCGGCUCAUCGCAUCCUGGGGCUGUAGUCGGUCCCAAGGGUUGGGCUGUUCGCCCAUUAAAGCGGUACGCGAGCUGGGUUCAGAACGUCGUGAGACAGUUCGGUCCCUAUCCGUCGUGGGCGUAGGAAAUUUGAGAGGAGCUGUCCUUAGUACGAGAGGACCGGGAUGGACAUACCUCUGGUGUACCAGUUGUCGUGCCAACGGCAUAGCUGGGUAGCUAUGUGUGGACGGGAUAAGUGCUGAAAGCAUCUAAGCAUGAAGCCCCCCUCAAGAUGAGAUUUCCCAACUUCGGUUAUAAGAUCCCUCAAAGAUGAUGAGGUUAAUAGGUUCGAGGUGGAAGCAUGGUGACAUGUGGAGCUGACGAAUACUAAUCGAUCGAAGACUUAAUCAAAUU
rnacentral:rRNA from 1 species